rnacentral:rRNA from 1 species
AUGCGUGUGAGCAGGAUCUAUGCACGUGUUUCCGUUGUUAUACUUGUUUUGGAGACUGAGGUAGCUCAGUGUGCUUUGCCGUCACUUUCGUGUCUGUGUGAGGUUGUAAACGACGGUUCUGUUCUUGCUGGUGUAGAACUUGAGCUCCCAGGGGACGGUUCUGCUCCAGUGCCACAAAGAGAUUUUUUUAGCUCGGCUUGGUGUGGUUUUAUGAAUAGCUAUGAGCAGGCUGCUCUACAGGUCUUGCGUAUUUUGCAAGGUUUAUAUGGACUUUUCGUUCAUGACAAUAACUAUGAAUGUAUGAUGGCCUAUAGGAGAUCUUUCUGUUCAAGAACAUUGCGGUUUCUUUGA